CCUUCGGGGGAAAGAUUUAUCGGAGAAGGAUUAGCCCGCGUUGGAUUAGGUAGUUGGUGGGGUAAUGGCCUACCAAGCCUACGAUCCAUAGCUGGUUUGAGAGGAUGAUCAGCCACACUGGGACUGAGACACGGCCCAGACUCCUACGGGAGGCAGCAGUGGGGAAUCUUAGACAAUGGGGGAAACCCUGAUCUAGCCAUGCCGCGUGAGUGAUGAAGGCCUUAGGGUUGUAAAGCUCUUUCAGCUGGGAAGAUAAUGACGGUACCAGCAGAAGAAGCCCCGGCUAACUCCGUGCCAGCAGCCGCGGUAAUACGGAGGGGGCUAGCGUUGUUCGGAAUUACUGGGCGUAAAGCGCACGUAGGCGGACUGGAAAGUUGGGGGUGAAAUCCCGGGGCUCAACCUCGGAACUGCCCUCCAAAACUAUCAGUCUGGGAGUUCGAGAGAGGGGGAUGGGAAUACCCGAGUGGUAGAAGGUGAAAAUUC
rnacentral:rRNA from 1 species